rnacentral:rRNA from 1 species
AUGAUUUAUUAAUAAAAGAAAUUUUAAGGACUAUUUUUAUUUUAAUGGGGGUUAAAGUAUGUUAAUAGGAAAAAUUUGAAGAGUUAAAGGGUAUUAUGUAUUGAGAAAGAAUUUUGAAAUAAAUUUAAAUAUUUAAUUUUAUUUAAAGUAGUUUUAAUUUAAUGUAUCUUGUGUAUCAGAGUUUGUUUAAAGAUUAUUUUAGGUAAGUAGUUCUCGAAUUUAAGAGAGAGAAUUAAUUAUAAAAGUUAUUGUGGUAUAAAUAUUUUUAAUAAUUAAUUUGAAAUGAGAUGUUAAUCGUUCUUAAAUAUAUCUGGUUUUUUUAGAAAGAAUUUUAAUUUUGGAUUAAUUUAAUUAAUAUUAAUUUUUAAAUUAUUUAUUUAUUAAUUUAAUCUUAUAUUUUAGGGGAUAAGCUUUAAAUUAAAUUUAAUAUAAUAAUUUAUUUAUUUUUAUUGAAAAUUAUAUGAUUUAUAUUGUUAAAAAAUUUUAUUUUAUUGUAAAUAAUUUCAAUUUAAAUAAAAUUUAAAUUAAUUUAUUAAUAUUUAUAAGAAUUUUUUUUUUAUAAGAUAAAAUUAGGAAUAAUGAUAAAAUUAGUAUAAAAUUUUUAAAGAAUAUUAUAAUUUUGUAAGAUAUUUUUAAGGAAUUCGGCAAAUUUGUUAUAUUCACUUGUUUAUCAAAAACAUGUCUUUUUGAUAUAUAAUUUAAAGUCUGAUCUGCCCACUGAUAUUAAUUAAAGGGCUGCAGUAUUUUGACUGUACAAAGGUAGCAUAAUCAUUAGUCAUUUAAUUGAUGGCUUGUAUGAAGGAUUGGAUGAAAUAUAGACUGUCUUAAUAUUAAUUUUUAAAAUUUAAUUUUUAAGUUAAAAAGCUUAAAUAGAUUAAAAAGACGAGAAGACCCUAUAGAGUUUUAUUAUUGUUUUAAAAUAAAGUUUUUAUAAAUAUAUUAAUUUAAUUUAUUUUAAUAAUUUUGUUGGGGUGAUAGAAAAAUUAAAUAAACUUUUUUUUUAUAUAUUUUCAUGAAUAAGUGAGUAAGUGAUCCAGUAGUAUUGAUUAUAAGAGAAAAUUACCUUAGGGAUAACAGCGUAAUUUUAUUUUUUAGUUCAAAUAAGAAAUAGAGUUUGCGACCUCGAUGUUGGAUUAAGAUAAAAUUUAGAUGUAGAAGUUUAAAGUUUUGAUCUGUUCGAUCAUUAGAAUCUUACAUGAUCUGAGUUCAAACCGGUGUAAGCCAGGUUGGUUUCUAUCUUUUAAUUAGGGGAAUAUUUUAGUACGAAAGGAUCAAAUAUUUAAAUUAAAUUUUAGUUUUGAAUUUUAUUAAUUUUAAUAAAAAAUUAUUAUUAUAUAUAUAUAUAUAUAUGUAUAUUG